ensembl:lncRNA
UUUUUUGAGAAGGACCUGUAGAGCAGAGAUCUCCAAUCCUGCUCCUGGAGAGCUACCAUCCUGAAGACUUCAGUUCCAACCCUGAUCCAACACACCUGUCUGUAAUUAUCAAGUAGCCCUGAACACCUUGAUUAGCUGGUUCAGGUGCGUUUGACUGGGGUUGGAGCUGAAAUCUGCAGGACAGUAGCUCUCCAUGAGCAGGGUUGGAGACCCCUGUACUAGAGAUUACACCAGCUCCAGAGUGAAUCCAAACUCACUUGUGAAGAGUUCAGAUGAUGCCAACGCUCACAAAGACUACAGAUGAUGGCAACUGUACAUGGACACACAAAACAUUGGACACAAAACAUUGCCUAUAAGGCACUCCGCAGGAUGAUGCAAAAUGAAAAUACGAGUUUUGACAAAAUGACACAAUUCAGCAUCUGAAAAAAUGUGUUUUUGCAUCAGUUUUGCUGGCAAAUAAACGGUAUCUUGGAGAAAGAAUAAACAUUGUUCUUUUACAAAUGUUUCCAACAUUUUAAUAAUACAAAAUGGAUUGAACAUUUUUUUAACUUACCCUUUAAAAAUGUUGAAGGAUAACGUUAACUGAACAGAACUAGAGACUUGUUUAGUAAGAUUUUAUCAGAAAAUAUUUUAGAAUUUUUAUCAUGCAAUUUAAAACAUUUUAACUGCUUAAUUGUUGUUUGCUUGGUUUUAUUUUGUGUUUAUGUAACUCUUGUAUUAUUGUAACUCAGUUUUUGGCAUAAAGAUAGCGUUCGAUGCUGACAGCACUGAACACAUGACUUGUAUUAUGAACUAGAACAUGGUCUUCCCCAGUGAGUCUGAGUCACCUGGCUUUUUAAAUUGUAACCUUGAAACAUGCAUUUUCUGUAAACCUACUUUGAAAUGAUAGGUAUUGUGAAAAGUGCUAUACUUAUAGAACAUUUAACCAUGGUUUUACUGCAAAUGCUGUAGUAAUGGUUAUGUUUGUUGUUACUAUGGUUUUACUGCAACAGUCAUAGUUAAACCAUGGUGAUUGUAGUAAAACUAUGGUUGAUUUUGUUUUUACUAUGGUUUUACUGCAAAUGCUGUAGUAAAAUCAUGGUUAAUUUUCAAAAGACUACAAAUAAUCGUGAAUUAUCCACUUUUGAUCAAAGCAUCUGGUAAAUGUUAAUGUAUUAGUACAUGUAAUAUGAAAUAAAUUAAAAUA